GGCGGACGGGUGAGUAAUAUAUAGAUAACGUGCCUCUUAGUCUGGGAUAGCCAUUGGAAACGAUGAUUAAUACUAGAUACUCCUUCUUAUCACAUGAUAAGCCGGGAAAGUUUUUUCGCUAAGAGAUCGGUCUAUAUCGCAUCAGUUAGUUGGUGGGGUAACGGCCUACCAAGACAAUGACGCGUAGCGGGUUUGAGAGGAUGAUCCGCCACACUGGUACUGAGACACGGACCAGACUCCUACGGGAGGCAGCAGUGAGGAAUAUUGCACAAUGGGGGAAACCCUGAUGCAGCAACGCCGCGUGGAGGAUGACGCAUUUCGGUGUGUAAACUCCUUUUAUGAGUCAAGAAAAUGACGGUAGCUCAUGAAUAAGCACCGGCUAACUCCGUGCCAGCAGCCGCGGUAAUACGGAGGGUGCAAGCGUUACUCGGAAUCACUGGGCGUAAAGGACGCGUAGGCGGGUUAUCAAGUCAGGUGUGAAAUCCUAUGGCUCAACCAUAGAACUGCACUUGAAACUGGUAACCUAGAGUAUGGGAGGGGCAGAUGGAAUUAGUAGUGUAGGGGUAAAAUCCGUAGAUAUUACUAGGAAUACCGAAAGCGAAGGCGAUCUGCUGGAACAUUACUGACGCUAAGGCGUGAAAGCGUGGGGAGCAAACGGGAUUAGAUACCCCGGUAGUCCACGCCCUAAACGAUGAACACUAGUCGUCGGGGAGCUAGUCUCUUCGGUGAUGCACUUAACAGAUUAAGUG
rnacentral:rRNA from 1 species